rnacentral:rRNA from 1 species
AUUGAACGCUGGCGGCAUGCCUAACACAUGCAAGUCGAACGAGCGGCGGACGGGUGAGUAAUGUAUGGGGACCUGCCCGAUCGAGGGGGAUAACUACUGGAACAGGUGGCUAAUACCGCUUACUAUUGGAUGAACCAAUAUGGGAUUAGCUAGUUGGUGGGGUAAAGGCUCACCAAGGCGACGAUCUGUAGCUGGUCUGAGAGGAGGAUCAGCCACACUGGGACUGAGACACGGCCCAGACUCCUACGGGAGGCAGCAGGGGGGAAUUUUGGACAAGGGGGGAAAGCCGGAUACAGCAAGCCCGCGUGUAUGAGGAAGGCCUCGGGGUGGUAAAGUAUUUUAAUCGGGGAGGCGGUACCGGCAGAAUAAGCACCGGCUAACUACGUGCCAGCAGCCGCGGUAAUAC